CAGCAGCCGCGGUAAUACGAAGGGUGCAAGCGUUUAUCGGAAUUACUGGGCGUAAAGCGUGCGUAGGCGGUGAGUUAAGUCUGCUGUGAAAUCCCCGGGCUCAACCUGGGAAUGGCGGUGGAUACUGGCUCGCUAGAGUGUGUCAGAGGAUGGUGGAAUUCCCGGUGUAGCGGUGAAAUGCGUAGAGAUCGGGAGGAACAUCAGUGGCGAAGGCGGCCAUCUGGGACAACACUGACGCUGAGGCACGAAAGCGUGGGGAGCAAACAGGAUUAGAUACCCCGGUAGUCCCUGUCUCUUAUAC
rnacentral:rRNA from 1 species